rnacentral:rRNA from 1 species
GCUGGCGACCGGCGCACGGGUGAGUAACACGUAUCCAACCUACCCUUUACUCGGGGAUAGCCUUUCGAAAGAAAGAUUAAUACCCGAUAGCAUAAUGAUUCCGCAUGGUUUCAUUAUUAAAGGAUUCCGGUAAAGGAUGGGGAUGCGUUCCAUUAGGUUGUUGGCGGGGUAACGGCCCACCAAGCCUUCGAUGGAUAGGGGUUCUGAGAGGAAGGUCCCCCACAUUGGAACUGAGACACGGUCCAAACUCCUACGGGAGGCAGCAUG